UACGCAGGGGGCUCGCGUUGCUCGGAAUGACUGGGCGUAAAGGGCGCGUCGGCGGCUUAUACAGUCAGGCGUGAAAUUCCUGGGCUCACCCUGGGGACUGCGUCUGAUACGUAUAGGCUUGAGUAUGGAAGAGGGUCGUGGAAUUUCCAGUGUAGAGGUGAAAUUCGUAGAUAUUGGAAAGAACACCGGUGGCGAAGGCGGCGACCUGGUCCAUUACUGACGCUGAGGCGCGAAAGCGUGGGGAGCAAACAGG
rnacentral:rRNA from 1 species